rnacentral:rRNA from 1 species
ACUUCUUUAAAGGAUUUCUUCGGAAUGAAUUUGAUUAAGUUUAGUGGCGGACGGGUGAGUAACGCGUGAGUAACCUGCCUCUAAGAGGGGAAUAACAUUCUGAAAAGAAUGCUAAUACCGCAUAACAUAUAUUUAUCGCAUGGUAGAUAUAUCAAAGAUUUAUCGCUUAGAGAUGGACUCGCGUCCGAUUAGUUAGUUGGUGAGGUAACGGCUCACCAAGACCGCGAUCGGUAGCCGGACUGAGAGGUUGAACGGCCACAUUGGGACUGAGACACGGCCCAGACUCCUACGGGAGGCAGCAGUGGGGGAUAUUGCGCAAUGGGGGAAACCCUGACGCAGCAACGCCGCGUGAAGGAUGAAGGUCUUCGGAUUGUAAACUUCUUUUAUUAAGGACGAAGAAAGUGACGGUACUUAAUGAAUAAGCUCCGGCUAACUACGUGCCAGCAGCCGCGGUAAUACGUAGGGAGCAAGCGUUGUCCGGAUUUACUGGGUGUAAA